AGCGUACACGGUGGAUGCCCUGGCAGUCAGAGGCGAUGAAGGACGUGCUAAUCUGCGAUAAGCGUCGGUAAGGUGAUAUGAACCGUUAUAACCGGCGAUUUCCGAAUGGGGAAACCCAGUGUGAUUCGUCACACUAUCAUUAACUGAAUCCAUAGGUUAAUGAGGCGAACCGGGGGAACUGAAACAUCUAAGUACCCCGAGGAAAAGAAAUCAACCGAGAUUCCCCCAGUAGCGGCGAGCGAACGGGGAGCAGCCCAGAGCCUGAAUCAGUGUGUGUGUUAGUGGAAGCGUCUGGAAAGGCGUGCGAUACAGGGUGACAGCCCCGUACACAAAAAUGCACAUGCUGUGAGCUCGAUGAGUAGGGCGGGACACGUGGUAUCCUGUCUGAAUAUGGGGGGACCAUCCUCCAAGGCUAAAUACUCCUGACUGACCGAUAGUGAACCAGUACCGUGAGGGAAAGGCGAAAAGAACCCCGGCGAGGGGAGUGAAAAAGAACCUGAAACCGUGUACGUACAAGCAGUGGGAGCACAGAGCAAUCUGUGUGACUGCGUACCUUUUGUAUAAUGGGUCAGCGACUUAUAUUCUGUAGCAAGGUUAACCGAAUAGGGGAGCCGAAGGGAAACCGAGUCUUAACUGGGCGUUAAGUUGCAGGGUAUAGACCCGAAACCCGGUGAUCUAGCCAUGGGCAGGUUGAAGGUUGGGUAACACUAACUGGAGGACCGAACCGACUAAUGUUGAAAAAUUAGCGGAUGACUUGUGGCUGGGGGUGAAAGGCCAAUCAAACCGGGAGAUAGCUGGUUCUCCCCGAAAGCUAUUUAGGUAGCGCCUCGUGAAUUCAUCUCCGGGGGUAGAGCACUGUUUCGGCAAGGGGGUCAUCCCGACUUACCAACCCGAUGCAAACUGCGAAUACCGGAGAAUGUUAUCACGGGAGACACACGGCGGGUGCUAACGUCCGUCGUGAAGAGGGAAACAACCCAGACCGCCAGCUAAGGUCCCAAAGUCAUGGUUAAGUGGGAAACGAUGUGGGAAGGCCCAGACAGCCAGGAUGUUGGCUUAGAAGCAGCCAUCAUUUAAAGAAAGCGUAAUAGCUCACUGGUCGAGUCGGCCUGCGCGGAAGAUGUAACGGGGCUAAACCAUGCACCGAAGCUGCGGCAGCGACACUAUGUGUUGUUGGGUAGGGGAGCGUUCUGUAAGCCUGUGAAGGUGUACUGUGAGGUAUGCUGGAGGUAUCAGAAGUGCGAAUGCUGACAUAAGUAACGAUAAAGCGGGUGAAAAGCCCGCUCGCCGGAAGACCAAGGGUUCCUGUCCAACGUUAAUCGGGGCAGGGUGAGUCGACCCCUAAGGCGAGGCCGAAAGGCGUAGUCGAUGGGAAACAGGUUAAUAUUCCUGUACUUGGUGUUACUGCGAAGGGGGGACGGAGAAGGCUAUGUUGGCCGGGCGACGGUUGUCCCGGUUUAAGCGUGUAGGCUGGUUUUCCAGGCAAAUCCGGAAAACUAAGGCUGAGGCGUGAUGACGAGGCACUACGGUGCUGAAGCAACAAAUGCCCUGCUUCCAGGAAAAGCCUCUAAGCAUCAGGUAACAUCAAAUCGUACCCCAAACCGACACAGGUGGUCAGGUAGAGAAUACCAAGGCGCUUGAGAGAACUCGGGUGAAGGAACUAGGCAAAAUGGUGCCGUAACUUCGGGAGAAGGCACGCUGAUAUGUAGGUGAAGUCCCUCGCGGAUGGAGCUGAAAUCAGUCGAAGAUACCAGCUGGCUGCAACUGUUUAUUAAAAACACAGCACUGUGCAAACACGAAAGUGGACGUAUACGGUGUGACGCCUGCCCGGUGCCGGAAGGUUAAUUGAUGGGGUUAGCGCAAGCGAAGCUCUUGAUCGAAGCCCCGGUAAACGGCGGCCGUAACUAUAACGGUCCUAAGGUAGCGAAAUUCCUUGUCGGGUAAGUUCCGACCUGCACGAAUGGCGUAAUGAUGGCCAGGCUGUCUCCACCCGAGACUCAGUGAAAUUGAACUCGCUGUGAAGAUGCAGUGUACCCGCGGCAAGACGGAAAGACCCCGUGAACCUUUACUAUAGCUUGACACUGAACAUUGAGCCUUGAUGUGUAGGAUAGGUGGGAGGCUUUGAAGUGUGGACGCCAGUCUGCAUGGAGCCGACCUUGAAAUACCACCCUUUAAUGUUUGAUGUUCUAACGUUGACCCGUGAUCCGGGUUGCGGACAGUGUCUGGUGGGUAGUUUGACUGGGGCGGUCUCCUCCUAAAGAGUAACGGAGGAGCACGAAGGUUGGCUAAUCCUGGUCGGACAUCAGGAGGUUAGUGCAAUGGCAUAAGCCAGCUUGACUGCGAGCGUGACGGCGCGAGCAGGUGCGAAAGCAGGUCAUAGUGAUCCGGUGGUUCUGAAUGGAAGGGCCAUCGCUCAACGGAUAAAAGGUACUCCGGGGAUAACAGGCUGAUACCGCCCAAGAGUUCAUAUCGACGGCGGUGUUUGGCACCUCGAUGUCGGCUCAUCACAUCCUGGGGCUGAAGUAGGUCCCAAGGGUAUGGCUGUUCGCCAUUUAAAGUGGUACGCGAGCUGGGUUUAGAACGUCGUGAGACAGUUCGGUCCCUAUCUGCCGUGGGCGCUGGAGAACUGAGGGGGGCUGCUCCUAGUACGAGAGGACCGGAGUGGACGCAUCACUGGUGUUCGGGUUGUCAUGCCAAUGGCACUGCCCGGUAGCUAAAUGCGGAAGAGAUAAGUGCUGAAAGCAUCUAAGCACGAAACUUGCCCCGAGAUGAGUUCUCCCUGACUCCUUGA
rnacentral:rRNA from 1 species